AGUGAACGCUGGCGGUAGGCCUAACACAUGCAAGUCGAACGGCAGCACAGUAAGAGCUUGCUCUUACGGGUGGCGAGUGGCGGACGGGUGAGGAAUACAUCGGAAUCUACUUUUUCGUGGGGGAUAACGUAGGGAAACUUACGCUAAUACCGCAUACGACCUACGGGUGAAAGCAGGGGAUCUUCGGACCUUGCGCGAUUGAAUGAGCCGAGGUCGGAUUAGCUAGUUGGCGGGGUAAAGGCCCACCAAGGCGACGAUCCGUAGCUGGUCUGAGAGGAUGAUCAGCCACACUGGAACUGAGACACGGUCCAGACUCCUACGGGAGGCAGCAGUGGGGAAUAUUGGACAAUGGGCGCAAGCCUGAUCCAGCCAUACCGCGUGUGUGAAGAAGGCCUUCGGGUUGUAAAGCCCUUUUGGUGGGAAAGAAAAGCAGCAGGUUAAUACCCCGCUGUUCUGACGGUACCCAAAGAAUAAGCACCGGCUAACUUCGUG
rnacentral:rRNA from 1 species